rnacentral:lncRNA from 1 species
UUUUUAUUAUAUUAAACUACCCACAUGACAGGGAUCACAUUCAUUUGAAAUUCAAUGGAUUUAAUACUUUUAGAAAUGCACUUUCAUUUUCUUUUGUUUUAUUUGAGAUUUUUAUUGGAAAGCUUCAUCUCAUUCACUUUUGGAAAUAUUGAGGCAUUACAGGAGGGAUUUAAGUCAUAAAGUAAAGAAGUCCCAUCAAUUAUUUCUGCAGUUAAUUUAUUUUCAAUUGACUUGUCAAGGUGAGGAAUAUUAUAUAAUUUGUCUUGAAGAGUUGUUGUCCUUUAUUGAGCUUGAGUAAUCUGUCUUCUUCCAAAAACAUAAAUAAAUGGCGGCCAAAAUCUUUGUGAACGACAGGCUACUUUUACAAGUAUUUUUGCCAGGAAAACAUAAACGAAAACUGUUUUUGAAGCUCAAUGAUUCAGUGGAUCAUAGAAAUAGCAUUUUAAAACACUCGUUUGCUUAAAAAUA